CCAGGGGCUUUGUGUUUGCUUUUUGACCAGCAGUUUGGUUGAGGCUAUUAGGGGAUGGAGGAGGCCUCACAGGGGACCUGCAGCAGCGUGGGAACCUCAGCCCCAGGGAGAGGGGGCAGCAAGAAGCCACAGAG